CUAAUAAUUUGGAAUCUAGCUUUGUGGUACGGAGACUCCCUCGUCUACUGUUUAGGUUUUUUUUAACAAAAAUAUUCAAUAGAAGAUAAUGGUUUGUAAACCAUUGAGAAAUAAUGAUAAUAAAUUAAUAAUAAAGCAGCCUAUUAGGGUUAGAAGUGACUAAGAGUGCUCAACGCCCGGUUCCACUGCGAAUAUCGAUCUUUCUCUCCACAUCUCACCGGCGGCGAUCUCUCAUAAAAUGAGAUCUGUGUUGUCUCUAUUUUGUUUGGUAUAAAGUUUAAAUCUUCGAGAGGGAUAGUUUCUGUUGUGGAGAAAGAAGAGUAGCUGUAGGUAAGCAAAAGGCUACUCUGUUUGUGUAGUUCCCUAGUGGACUUUAAGCACUCCUCCACCGAGCUAUUUUUGCUGCAAGUACAUAAUCACUGUCUCACCAAAUUGUGAUUGCAGGCUUCGAGCCAUUGCGCACAGAAAUAUAGUGUAGGAAUCAUAUGAUUUGAAGUUAGUUUAUUGUGAAGAUAUGUGGAUGUUAUUUUUUUUCCUCUUCACUUUGCCAUGGAAUUUAGACCAUUGAUUUGUGUUGAGAAAAUAAAAGAAUCUUUGAUGUCAAAACAUGUUAUGAUCUAUUUUAAUUUAUGCUUUUGGAUUCGAACUGUUUUCAUGUCUACAAUGCUUUGAUUUUAUAUUAUAAGGUUAUUUAGUUCAA